rnacentral:lncRNA from 1 species
AAGGUCACAGAAGACUGCUAUUAACAUGAGGCAUCAGGAAACUGAGAAUGAUGAACAGGCCAAAUAAUCUAAGUUUGUAUUAGCAGUGUAUUAGUGUCAUCAAACUUUUGGUUCUUGUUAAAUUUGAGUCCAUCAUUCUAGCCAACUGGGUGAUGUUUUGGAAUAUUGGUUCUUACCGCCACCAAUCUGGGAGAAUAAGAUAUGGAGCCAGCUCCUCUGC